rnacentral:rRNA from 1 species
UACGUAGGGUGCGAGCGUUAUCCGGAAUUAUUGGGCGUAAAGGGCUCGUAGGCGGUUUGUCGCGUCUGCCGUGAAAGUCCGGGGCUCAACUCCGGAUCUGCGGUGGGUACGGGCAGACUAGAGUGAUGUAGGGGAGACUGGAAUUCCUGGUGUAGCGGUGAAAUGCGCAGAUAUCAGGAGGAACACCGAUGGCGAAGGCAGCUCGCUGGGACGGUACUGACGCUGAGGCGCGAAAGCGUGGGGAGCGAACAGG